rnacentral:piRNA from 1 species
UGCUGACGGUGCAUGCAACCUGCUUU